rnacentral:rRNA from 1 species
UACGAAGGUCCCGAGCGUUGUUCGGAAUCACUGGGCGUAAAGGGAGCGUAGGCGGCGUGGUAAGUCAGAUGGUGAAAUCCCGGGGCUCAACCCCGGAACUGCAUCCGAUACUGCCGGUGCUCGAGGGUUGGAGAGGGUAGCUGGAAUUAUCGGUGUAGCAGUGAAAUGCGUGGAUAUCGAUAGGAACACUCGUGGCGAAGGCGGGCUACUGGACAACAUCUGACGCUGAGGCUCGAAGGCCAGGGGAGCAAAAGGG